GACGAACGCUGGCGGCGUGCCUAACACAUGCAAGUCGAGCGAUGAAACCCUUCGGGGUGGAUUAGCGGCGGACGGGUGAGUAACACGUGGGUAACCUGCCUCAAAGCGGGGGAUAGCCUCCCGAAAGGGAGAUUAAUACCGCAUAACAUUAGUUUUUCGCAUGAAGAACUAAUCAAAGGAGUAAUCCGCUUUGAGAUGGACCCGCGGCGCAUUAGCUAGUUGGUGAGGUAAAGGCUCACCAAGGCGACGAUGCGUAGCCGACCUGAGAGGGUGAUCGGCCACAUUGGAACUGAGACACGGUCCAGACUCCUACGGGAGGCAGCAGUGGGGAAUAUUGCACAAUGGGCGAAAGCCUGAUGCAGCAACGCCGCGUGAGUGAUGAAGGCCUUCGGGUUGCAAAGCUCUGUCUUUUGGGACGAUAAUGACGGUACCAAAGGAGGAAGCCACGGCUAACUACGUGCCAGCCGCCGCCGUAAAAC
rnacentral:rRNA from 1 species